AUUGUACUGAUGAGGAAGCUGACGUUAAGAGCAGUAAAUUGCCUGCUUCAAACAGCUUAUAAAUGGCAGAGCAAGGAUCUAAGAAAUCAAGGGGAUUUUAAAAUUCUACCCCUUAACUCUAAUUCAUAGUUGAGUCAUGAGGAGGCUGAAUAAUUGCAUACUCUACACUUAUCCUCAUUCUGCUUUUAAUUUAUGUAAGUGUUUACUGACCUUGCUUUAAGCUUCCUGAAACCAGACGGCACAACUUAGAGGGAAGAAAUCUCAGAAUGAAUAUAGGGCUCUUCUUGUAGUCUGGCCAAUGGAUCUGCUGGGUAAGUGGCAGAAUCCCUCACUUACUUAGUAGAUAAAGCUCUCCAUGAGGACAUACUGAAAGCCCCUAGCUAGUCCCUAGAGGAGAAUCUCUCAGCUGAUGACACCCAGGAAUCAUCUCACCAAUGAGACCCUUUAAGACUUAGAAGCUCCUUACCAGCGGAACAUCCUGCAGGUGUGACCCAGCAGGAGGGAACUCACUCUACUGAGAAGCAUUUUCAUCCUAGAUUCUAUCCAGUUACUUAUGAAGACUGAAAUCCAGAUAAUAAGACUUGGUGUGCCCCAGCAGUAAAGCCCUGCAGUGACGUGCUCAAGGCAAAAGUGAACGGCACUGAGUAAGCUGAGAGGUCUCUGGCCUCCACUGCACUGGAGAGGAUCCCGGAGGAUGGGUGAGAGAGGAUCUAUGUAGAGGCAUCAGGAAUCACUGACCUCUCACACGCGUUUUAGAGGACGUCCACCUUGCAGGUCCUUCUAGUUGUGGGAUGCGGGAUGCUGCCUCAACGUGGCCUGACGAGCGGUGCCACGUCCAUGCCCAGGAUCCGAACCCUGGGCCACCACAGAGGAGUGCGGGAACUUAACCACUCCGCCACGUAGCCAGCCCCUGUCCUUCAUUUUGAUUUCAAGAUUAAAUAUUAAUAUGAUAUUGUUUAUCUUCAAAGUCUGUCAUACUGGUGACAUAACAGAUACACGUCUCUCUUACUAGUUAAUAAGUUCUUUGACAACAAAGACUCUGCCAUCUUUCCUAGUAGCCCCACACUAAACACAAUAAUUAGUGCAAAGUCAGAUUUGCAUGUUAGGUGUAUUAAUGAAUGAAUGAAAGAUUAAAU
rnacentral:lncRNA from 1 species